GGAGUUAGCCGGUUCUUCUUCUGUGAGUGAUGUCCUUCCUGCCGGCUAUUAACCCGCAGGCCUUCUUCCUCACUGAAAGUGCUUUACAACCCGAAGGCCUUCUUCACACACGCGGCAUGGCUGGAUCAGGGUUGCCCCCAUUGUCCAAUAUUCCCCACUGCUGCCUCCCGUAGGAGUCUGGGCCGUGUCUCAGUCCCAGUGUGGCUGAUCAUCCUCUCAGACCAGCUACGGAUCGUCGCCUUGGUGAGCCGUUACCUCACCAACCAGCUAAUCCGACAUAGGCUCAUCCGAUAGCGCGAGGCCCGAAGGUCCCCCGCUUUCCCCCGUAGGGCGUAUGCGGUAUUAGCCUGGGUUUCCCCCAGGUUAUCCCCCACUACCGGGCAGAUUCCUAUGCAUUACUCACCCGUCCGCCGCUCGCCACCAGGGAGCAAGCUCCCCGUGCUGCCGCUCGACUUGCAUGUGUUAGGCCUGCCGCCAGCGUUCAAUCUGAGCCAGAAUCGAACCCUGA
rnacentral:rRNA from 1 species